UACAGAGGGUGCGAACGUUGUUCGGAAUUACUGGGCAUAAAGAGCACGUAGGCGGCACCGCAAGUGUGGGGUGAAAUCCCACGGCUUACCCGUGGAACUGCCUGGCAGACUGCGGUGCUAGAGGUUGGUAGGGGAGAGCGGAACUCUUGGUGGAGCGGUGAAAUGCGUAGAUAUCAAGAGGAACACCGGUGGCGAAGGCGGCUCUCUGGACCAGUUCUGACACUGAUGAGCGAAAGCCAGGGGAGCAAACAGG
rnacentral:rRNA from 1 species